rnacentral:piRNA from 1 species
UGACAUUUCAGCUGGAUAGCUUGCCCCUCU